rnacentral:rRNA from 1 species
GAUGAACGCUAGCUACAGGCUUAACACAUGCAAGUCGAGGGGAAACGGCAUUGAGUGCUUGCACUCUUUGGACGUCGACCGGCGCACGGGUGAGUAACGCGUAUCCAACCUUCCCAUUACUGUGGGAUAACCUGCCGAAAGGCAGACUAAUACCGCAUAGUCUUCGAUGACGGCAUCAGAUUUGAAGUAAAGAUUUAUCGGUAAUGGAUGGGGAUGCGUCUGAUUAGCUUGUUGGCGGGGUAACGGCCCACCAAGGCGACGAUCAGUAGGGGUUCUGAGAGGAAGGUCCCCCACAUUGGAACUGAGACACGGUCCAAACUCCUACGGGAGGCAGCAGUGAGGAAUAUUGGUCAAUGGACGUAAGUCUGAACCAGCCAAGUAGCGUGCAGGAUGACGGCCCUAUGGGUUGUAAACUGCUUUUGUAUGGGGAUAAAGUUAGGGACGUGUCCCUAUUUGCAGGUACCAUACGAAUAAGGACCGGCUAAUUCCGUGCCAGCAGCCGCGGUAAUACGGAAGGCCCAGGCGUUAUCCGGAUUUAUUGGGUUUAAAGGGAGCGUAGGCUGGAGAUUAAGUGUGUUGUGAAAUGUAGACGCUCAACGUCUGACUUGCAGCGCAUACUGGUUUCCUUGAGUACGCACAACGUUGGCGGAAUUCGUCGUGUAGCGGUGAAAUGCUUAGAUAUGACGAAGAACUCCGAUUGCGAAGGCAGCUGACGGGAGCGCAACUGACGCUUAAGCUCGAAGGUGCGGGUAUCAAACAGG